CUUGUAUGGUUCUGUUGGUGGUGGUGGGGAUUUGUAGUAGUAUGGUGGAGGAGGAGAUUUCUCUGGUGGUGGUGGUGACUUGUACUCGUAUGGUGGUGGUGGAGAGUGUACAGGUGGUGGUGGGGACUUGUACUCAUAUGGUGGUGGAGGUGGGGAUGAGUACUUGUAUGGUUCAGUUGGUGGUGGUGGGGAUUUGUAGUAGUAUGGUGGAGGAGGAGAUUUCUCUGGUGGUGGUGGGGACUUGUAUUCAUAUGGUGGAGGAAGAGCCUUCACUGGUGGUGGUGGGGAUUUGUACUCAUAUGGUGGUGGUGGUGGGGAUGAGUAC